rnacentral:sRNA from 2 species
CGCCCCGUCAUCGGGGAGUAGCCGCCCGCAACCAUCAGCGGGGCCCGCGUCAACAUACUUCCUCUCCCGGAGAGGAUGGCGCGGGAACGGUCCAGGGUCUUUCAGACCGGAUCACGGCAAGACCGGCGGCUUUCGCAGGGAU